UGGGGAAUAUUGCACAAUGGGCGCAAGCCUGAUGCAGCCAUGCCGCGUGUAUGAAGAAGGCCUUCGGGUUGUAAAGCACUUUCAGCGGGGAGGAAGGCGUUAAGGUUAAUAACCUUGGCGAUUGACGUUACCCGCAGAAGAAGCACCGGCUAACUCCGUGCCAGCAGCCGCGGUAAUACGGAGGGUGCAAGCGUUAAUCGGAAUUACUGGGCGUAAAGCGCACGCAGGCGGUCUGUCAAGUCGGAUGUGAAAUCCCCGGGCUCAACCUGGGAACUGCAUUCGAAACUGGCAGGCUAGAGUCUUGUAGAGGGGGGUAGAAUUCCAGGUGUAGCGGUGAAAUGCGUAGAGAUCUGGGGGAAUACCGGUGGCGAAGGCGGCCCCCUGGACAAAGACUGACGCUCAGGUGCGAAAGCGUGGGGAGCAAACAGG
rnacentral:rRNA from 1 species